CUCAGGAGACACAGAACAGAGCAGGGAUGGGCAGUCAUAUUUGCAAACAGUCAUAUGGUGCAAGGCAGGUUAAACUUUAGUCUUGGCAACCUAAAACCAUCUAGAGCUAGGAGAUGAGAGGAAAGCAACCGCCUCGGAGAAAAGCAUGAAGGGGAUUUUCCCACACCUAGCCCUAUUUAUUUAGCACAGCCAUCUCUCCUUCCACUAAGCAGGCUGAGCCUAAAGGCAGAAGGGCACAGCCAGCAGUGUAUAUCCAAGAGUGCAGACUCUUGCUUUCUCACCAACAGGACCAGCAUCCUGAGAAGAAGGAUGGGGAACACUGCCCUCCCUGACUCUGCCUGGAGCACCACCCUGCUCUCCUGGGUUGCUGUCUGUCUCCUGGGAACAAGUUCAGCAAAUUCUGGGGUUUUCCAGUCUCCAAGACACAUAAUCAAAGAGAAGGGAGGAAGGUCCAUUUUGAAAUGUAUUCCCAUCUCUGGACAUAGCAAUGUAGCUUGGUACCAACAGACUCAGGGACAGGAACUAAAGUUCCUUAUUCAGCAUUAUGAAAAAAUGGAGAGAGAUAAGGGAUUCCUACCUAGCAGAUUCUCAGUCCAGCAGUUCAAUGACUAUCACUCUGAGAUGAACAUGAGUGCCUUGGAACUGGAGGACACUGCUGUAUACUUCUGUGCCAGUUCUCUCCACAGCCUUACAAAGCUACUGGCUUUCUGUAAUAUAAUCUUCCUGUCACAGCUGGAGACUUACUAGA